rnacentral:rRNA from 1 species
GACGAACGCUGGCGGCGUGCCUAAUACGUGCAAGUCGAGCGCAGGAAAUCGACGGAACCCUUCGGGGGGAAGUCGACGGAAUGAGCGGCGGACGGGUGAGUAACACGUAAAGAACCUGCCCUCAGGUCUGGGAUAACCACGAGAAAUCGGGGCUAAUACCGGAUGGGUCAUCGGACCGCAUGGUCCGAGGAUGAAAGGCGCUUCGGCGUCGCCUGGGGAUGGCUUUGCGGUGCAUUAGCUAGUUGGUGGGGUAAUGGCCCACCAAGGCGACGAGGCAUAGCCGACCUGAGAGGGGGAUCGGCCACACUGGGACUGAGACACGGCCCAGACUCCUACGGGAGGCAGCAGUAGGGAAUCUUCCACAAUGGACGAAAGUCUGAUGGAGCAGCGCCGCGUGAACGAUGAAGGCCUUCGGGUCGUAAAGUUCUGUUGUAAGGGAAGAACAAGUGCCGCAGGCAAUGGCGGCACCUUGACGGUACCUUGCGAGAAAGCCACGGCUAACUACGUGCCAGCAGCCGCGGUAA